AGCCUUGGGAGACCUCACCCAAGAGUGGACACAUGAUCCAGUGUAUACAUGGCCCAGUGCCGGCCAGUUAUUUUAAUGUCAAGAUCCUUAACUGUGAGCAGAAGUGUGGAACACAGGAGCUUCCAGGUCACAGAGAUGAGAGGUCAGAAUUGGCUCCAGGGCAACGGAAGACCAGUGCAGGAUGAAGUCACAGGGAACAGAAACCGGAGCCACAGAGGACAGGGUAGAGUCGCAGAAAGGAGAGACACACAUACAUGGAAAGAGGAGCUUUCUCCAAUCUUAAUGAUUCCCAGCUCUCAGCCUCGUUUCUGCAACCCAGCCUGCAAGCAAACUGUCCUGCUUUGGACCCUGCUGUGUCACUCUCCGCACCAGCCUUUGCCUCUGCUCUUCGCUCUAUGAAGUCCUCCCAGGCUGCACGGAAGGACGACUUUCUCAGGUAAAGAACCGCAGUCAUCGAACUGGAGUCCCAUUGAUUCCCUCCCCCUCGCCGCCCCAAAUCUGGCACCUGCCCAAGGUAUCCUCAGAACCAUUUGGGGUGUCCUUUGGCAUUGGAUAAUAGAAAUAAGAUUUUACCUCUUUCUACCAUAAAUUGUACCACGUUUUAUGUAUUGCUGACCCCUUUCAUCUGAUUUAUUGUUGUUUAUUUUAGAAUAUUUUCUCUUUGAAAUUUUUUUUUCAGUAAAAAGUUAUGACACCAAGCACAGUGCUCCGAAGGCGGAGGCGGAUGAGCGCGGGAGGCCUUCCUUCGUCUCCGUAGGCGACGCCCUCCCACCCCUUCCCUUGUUCUCAUGGCACUCCUAGCUACUGGCAAAGCAGUUGCUGUCCAUUGUGGGGUGCAGUCCGGAAGGGAGCCCUGGCAGAUCAGUGAGAGAAUUCACAGACCUUCAGAUGUUACCGCAGAUCUGGCCCUGGUAAGCAUCAUUCUACUCCGUGCCUCCGUAAGAUCCACUUUUUUAGCUCCCACAUUUGAGUGAGAACAUGUGAUAUUUGUAUUUUUGUACCUGUUUAUUUCACUCAACAUAAUGAACUCCAGCUCCAUCCAUGCUGCUACAAAUGAAAGGAUAUUAUUCUGUUUUAUGGCCAAAUAAUGUUUCUUUGUGUAUAUGUACCACAUUUUCCUUAUCCAUUCAUUCAUUGGUGGAUUCUUAGGUUGAUUUCACUUCUUGACUAAUAUGAACAGUGCUGUAAUAAACAUGGGAGUGCAGAGA